GGCGGUGUAGCUCAGCUGGUUAGAGCAGCGGUUUCAUAAGCCGCGUGUCCCCGGUUCGAGUCCGGGCACCGCCACCA
rnacentral:tRNA from 1 species